GAUGAACGCUGGCGGCGUGCCUAAUACAUGCAAGUCGAGCGAACAGACGAGGAGCUUGCUCCUCUGACGUUAGCGGCGGACGGGUGAGUAACACGUGGAUAAACUACCUAUAAGACUGGGAUAACUUCGGGAAACAGGAGCUAAUACCGGAUAAUAUAUUGAACUGCAUGGUUCACUAGUGAAAGAAGGUUUUGCUGUCACUUAUAGAUGGAUCCGCCCCGCAUUAGCUAGUUGGUAAGGUAACGGCUUACCAAGGCAACGAUUGGUAGCCGACCCGAGCGGGUGGUCGGCCACACUGGAUCUGAGACACGUUCCAGACUCCGACGGGAAGCAGCGGUAGGGAAUCUUCCGCGAGGGACGAGAGCGGGACGGAGCAACGCCGCGUGAGUGAUGAAGGUCUUCUGAUCGGAGAACUCUGUAAUUAGGGAAGAACAAAUGUGUAAGUACCUAUGCACGUCUUGACGGUACCGGAUCAGAAAGCCACGGCUAACUACGUG
rnacentral:rRNA from 1 species